ACCGGAGGGCUGUGGGCCGGAGGGGCGGGGCCGCGGCGGGGCUUCUCCAGGCGGAGGCUCGGCUCGGGCCUCAGGUCCGCAGGCCAAGCAGGAGCUUAGUGGCCUGCGAAGUGCCGCCGCGCCGCCCUCAGGGAGGCCGGGCCUCGGCGGCCCUGGCCUGAGGGGCGACCUGCCUGGCCUGGGGGACCCGACGGGGAGAUCGAGGGCCCAGGAGAGCGGCCUGACGGUGAACCUGAACUGUUCUCCGGAGAGAUCCUACUUGCUCCUGGGAAGAAAAGAGAAAAGGAACCAAAGUGAAUUUCUCUUGGCAGCUAUACAUUAAGAGCCUCUCAGUAACAGUCUCAAGGAGAGCUUCCAUGCUUGGGGAAACAGACACUUCCACAUGCCACCAAGCCAGACCUCAAGUUCCACGAGUACAGAGGCUCCACUGUUGAGGACCUUGCCCUAUAUAUUUUUUCAUCUUGCUGCUGUUUCAUAUCCUUUAUCAUAUCCUUUAAUAAACUGGUAAAUGUGUUUCCCUGACUUCUGUGAGCUGCUCUAACAAAUAAUUGAACCUGAGGAGGCGGUCACUGGAAUCUCCAGUCUGUAGCUGAGUGACAUGGGUAACAGCUUGGGCCUUGCAAGUGGUGUCUGAAAUGGGGCAGUAGGAGUGCAGCAUUGUAGGAUGGAACCCUUAACCUGUGGAAUCUGAUGUUAUCUCUGGGUGGAUAGUGACAGACACCCUGCUGGUGUCUGAGAACUGCCUGGUAUGUGUGGGGAAACCCCAGACAACAUUAGAUUUGGGUAUGGGAACACCUACUUAAUUUCCAA